AGAGAUAGGGGAUUGUACAUAACUAGUCAUGGAUGAGUAUUCUGAUAAAAAAGAUGGUGAUGGGCUGGUUGUCUCUAGAAGGGGAUCUACCCUUGUUUUGAGAGAUACUGCUAAUAAUAAAGACCGAAAUGCUCAAUUUUGCAACCGAAUUGGGUGUAGUGGGAGACUAAACUCUGCAAAAGGUACUCAAAUCAGUUAUUCGGAGAAAGCUAAAUCGUCAAGGCAAUCAUUCCGGUCUCCCUCAAAUGGCAAGGAAAUAAUUGGAAGUUCUUCUAGGACCUGCUCUGCAACCAGCAAUCCUAGGAAAUCUUUUUCAGGGCCUCGGAAAAAGCCAUCUUCUCAGCCAGAAAAGGAUCCAUCUGAAACUGGUAGUUCGCAGGAUGAUCCUGAACUGCCGGACCUUGUAACUCUCAGAAAGGUCCAAAAAGGUCUUGGCUCCGAAUCUGAUGAUGCUGGGCCUAGUGAGAACAACUCAAUGGAAGUUGGUAGCACUAGUAUACCAAGCACAAGAUCUCGUAGGAGUUUUCAGCAGAAAUCAGGAGUAGGUAAACCAGAUACCAUAAUAGGCUCACCCAUUUUGUUGACAUCUAAAAGCACAAGCCAAGGGAUGCAUGCUAGUGCGAACAGGUAUGGUUUAAGAAACCUUAGAUGCAGUUCAUUAUCAGAUGUUGUCCCUACAGGAUCCUCAACAUCAAAACCAAAUUUCCUUAGACGAAAAGAUGGGGUCAAGAAGAGAAUUUGUGAUAGAGAAAGUACUUCCUCUGCCAGAGGGAAGAAAAUAAGUGGUUCAUCAUUGGAAGGGCAGAAUUCUAGUUCCAGCUCUGGUGUCUCGAUUUCCAAUUCAAGAACCAGAAAUGGGACUCCCAGCCAGGACAGUGGUCCUGUGUCAGUUAGGACUCGAAGAUCACUCAGUUACACUAGGACAAGGGUUGCUAAUCACGGAAGUGGGAAUAAUUUAUCACCAAAUGGGCCCCAUGUAAUCCCACAAAUUUCUCAGCCUAUUUUACGAAAUGAUUCAAAUUCACCUACCUCUUCACAUCAAUUCUCUAUGGAAUCCUCCCUAAGUCACUCACGUUCUUAUGGUCUAUCUGGUAGUAGCCAAGAGAGUUUUCGGGGCAUUAGGCUAUCUACUCCUGCAGAAGUUGGUGACAUCCGUUCUUCCAUGAGUCAGGAGAGCUUCUGGCGCCACAAUAUGGAUGGAAUUGCUGAGGUGUUAUUGGCACUUGAAAGGAUUGAACAAGAUGAAGAGCUGACAUAUGAGCAAUUGCUUGUUAUGGAGACUACUUUGUUCCUUAAUGGGCUGAAUUUCUAUGAUCAGCAUAGAGACAUGAGAUUGGAUAUUGAUAAUAUGUCAUAUGAGGAAUUAUUAGCUCUGGAAGAAAGGAUGGGCUCUGUGAGCACAGCACUAACAGAGGAAGCAUUGUCAGAAUGCCUUAAGACUAGCAUCUAUCAGUCGGCAUAUCUGGAGGAUGCUACUAUGGACCUUUGUGGUGAAAAGGCUGAUGUCAAAUGCAGUAUCUGCCAGGUUAUUUAUUUAUUUUUUUUAUAUAGAAAUUGUUUUAUUUAUUAGGUUUUGCCGAAGUCUAUUUACAGUUAAAACUCAAAAGCAUUAAAAUGUUGAAUUUAUGUAUAUGCAGAAGCAAUCUAGCCAAAGCAAAUAAAAUCAUGUAGAUGUAGAAGCAAAAUCUCUAGCUGAACCAAAGCCAAUCUGGUUCUAACCAAAAUUUGCACAGAUUAACUUGAACUAGUUUAACGUCCGAUUAAGUUUGGGUUCAAUGUAGACAGAUAUUUGUAAAUGGCUUUUGCGAAAAGCCGAAGGAAAGAGUUGGUUUUAUUCAUAAGAUUUCAUUCUGCAACUUACCCAGAUUGCAUUUGAGUUGUGAACGUCACUGAACUAACCCAUUUUGUACCUUAUUUUUCUCAUUGCAGGAAGAUUAUGCUGUUGGAGAUGAAGUGGGGAGAUUGCAAUGCGAGCAUAGGUAUCAUGUGGCCUGCAUACAUCAAUGGUUGAGGCUGAAGAACUGGUGCCCCAUUUGCAAGGCAUCGGCGGCACCCUCAUCAUCACCAUUACCAUCACCAUCAUCAGUCGAUGAAUAAAUUGGAUGUUUGAGUAUUUUUCAUUUUGUACAAAUCGAGUCUGUCUUCUGCAUCCAUUUUUUAUUUUUCAUAUAUUUUUUUAAGAAAAUUGGAGAUCAUUUUCUUUAAUGUACAUACCAAUUCUCUUUCAUGUCAAUAGAGUAAUAAACUCGGCAACAUUGCCAUUACAAUGAUAACUUGUUUUCAUCUAUAAAACAGAAGCUGUGAAUGAAAUUGCUCACAAAGUUGCUG
rnacentral:misc_RNA from 1 species